rnacentral:rRNA from 1 species
UGCGUAGGUGGCCAUGUAAGCGCGGGGUGAAAGGCAAUAGCUUAACUAUUGUAAGCCUUGCGAACUGUGUGGCUUGAGUGCAGGAGAGGAAAGUGGAAUUCCUAGUGUAGCGGUGAAAUGCGUAGAUAUUAGGAGGAACACCAGUGGCGAAGGCGACUUUCUGGACUGUAACUGACACUGAGGCACGAAAGCGUGGGGAGCAAACAG